rnacentral:rRNA from 1 species
GACGUAGGAGGCGAGCGUUAUCCGGAUUCACUGGGCGUAAAGCGCAUGUAGGCGGGUGCUCAAGUCUGUGGUGAAAUCCUCCGGCUCAACCGGAGAACUGCCAUGGAUACUGGGUGUCUCGAGGGUGGUAGGGGUAUGCGGAACUAUCGGUGGAGCGGUGAAAUGCGUUGAUAUCGAUAGGAAUACCGGUGGCGAAGGCGGCAUCCGUGGACCGACAUUGACGCUGAACGGCGAAAGCUAGGGGAGCAAACGGG